rnacentral:rRNA from 1 species
UACGUAGGUGGCAAGCGUUGUCCGGAAUUAUUGGGCGUAAAGCGCGCGCAGGCGGUCCUUUAAGUCUGAUGUGAAAGCCCACGGCUCAACCGUGGAGGGUCAUUGGAAACUGGGGGACUUGAGUGCAGGAGAGAAGAGUGGAAUUCCAGCGUAGUAGCGGUUGAAAUGCGUAGAGAUGUGGAGGAACACCAGUGGCGAAGGCGAGUCCCUGGACAAAACCUGACACUGAGGCACGAAAGCUAGGGGAGCAAACAG